AUGACACCUUUAACUAAAAACUACAUUAGGCAGCUGUAAAUUAUUUAGAUUUUGUGUAACAACCAUGAUUUGAUCUGUGUGAUUUGUCCUCAUAUAUUUAAAUUUUUUUAAUUUUUUUUAAAAUGUUAUAAGAUUUUUUUAAAAAUAAUUACUAAUUUAAACUAAUAUAAACUACAUUAUAGUCCACUUGGGAGUUCAUAAUUAUUUUUUGGACAUUAUCGUGUAUAGGCGUUUGAUGUCCGCCCUACCUAAGGGUUAAACAAAAAGAAUACCAACCAAAUUUUGAAAUGCAACUUUUUGCAGAAUCAUAAGAAUAUUAUUGACUUUGUCAUUAUAAAACUGACCAUUUGUCACAAUUACAAAAGCCAUGGUCAUGGUUGAACAAUAGGGACUUUUUAACACCCUUAACACCGCACAGCCUUUAAACACAUCCCUUCUGUUACACAAAAUGUAAUGAAUAAGCACGAUAUCAUCUCUAUCAUAACAAUUUCAGCAAUAUUUUCAUGUAUAGCAACGAUUUUGGAGAACGCAAAUAGAGGUCGUAAAAGAUGGCCAUAAUGGUGAAGUAUAUUUGAAUCAUAUCUGUAAGAUGGCAUGGCGCCUUAGACUUGUAUUUUGGUCAACAUACAUAAGAAUGUCCACUUCGGCCUACCCUCUCUUAAAGGCAUGGAAUCAACUAAGAGAAACAGAUUCACUGAUAAAUAAACCUCAAUAAUUAUGCAUCACGAUUCAAUUACUUAAUAUAAAAAUGAAUAACGGUAUUAAACCAACACACCUUUGGCGGUUGACCGGGAUGAAACAUUUCAGGAGAAUGAUUCGAAACAAAGAAGAAGCUUUUCCCCCAUUCUGCCAGAGGGAUAGAUGGGAAGUUCUCAAAAUGCUAGGAAUAUCCUCUAUCACCAUCAUUGCCGUAGCGUUUACGUUUGGGAAGUUUAGCCCACCAACUCAAGAUGUCUUCAUUCCGGGGCCUUGCGUGAAAAAGAAGACUGUUGUUAAGCAGGAUGGGCGUGACCCAUGUCCUAGGGAAGUGCCCUGCCCUGUUCCGCAGUGCAAGAAAGCAUCAGAGGACAAAGAUGAUCGUAAAGUGUGCAGAUAUGAUUGAUUUUAUGUAAGAGAAGUGGAAUUAAACAUUUAUAUAGGCA